rnacentral:rRNA from 1 species
UACGUAGGGGGCAAGCGUUAUCCGGAUUUACUGGGUGUAAAGGGAGCGUAGACGGCGAUGCAAGCCAGAUGUGAAAGCCCGGGGCUCAACCCCGGGACUGCAUUUGGAACUGUGUGGCUGGAGUGUCGGAGAGGCAAGUGGAAUUCCUAGUGUAGCGGUGAAAUGCGUAGAUAUUAGGAGGAACACCAGUGGCGAAGGCGGCCUGCUGGACUGCAACUGACGUUGAGGCUCGAAGGCGUGGGGAGCAAACAGG